GGGGGGGGGGGGGGGCGGGGGGGGCGGGGGGGGGGGGGGCGGGGGGGAGGGAGCUUGCGGUCUGGAGCGAGUGGCUAACGGUUGAGUAACGCGUGAGGAACCUGCCGCAGAGAGGGGGACCACCGUUGGAAACGACUGCUAAUACCGCAUAAGGCCACCGCCCGGCUGCGGGGUGAGGUAACAGGAGCCAUCCGCUUUGAGAUGGCCUCUCGUCCGAUUAGCUAGUUGGUGGGGUAACGGCCCACCAAGGCGACGAUCGGUAGCCGGACUGAGAGGUUGAACGGCCACAUUGGGACUGAGACACGGCACCGACUCCUACGGGAGGCAGCAGUGGGGAAUAUUGCACAAUGGGGGAAACCCUGAUGCAGCGACGCCGCGUGGAGGAAGAAGGUCUUCGGAUUGUAAACUCCUGUUGUUGAGGAAGAUAAUGACGGUACUCAACAAGGAAGUGACGGCUAACUACGUG
rnacentral:rRNA from 1 species